rnacentral:tRNA from 1 species
AGCAGCGUGGCUUAGUGGCAAGAGCACGGGGAUGGGGGUCAGAGGACCUGGGUUCGAAUCCCGGAUCUGCUA